rnacentral:snRNA from 1 species
GGAUGUGAGGGUGAUCUGGGUAGUUGGGCGUGUUUCCCCUUUCUCCUUCAUUGCUCCACAUGCUCAGUUGAUGAGAUUGGCCUCCCCAAUAGACUGUUCUUCAGUCAAGAGCGUAUGAGUAACUGCGCACCCCUGCUAGAACCUCCAAACAAGCUCUCCAAAGUGAUAAAUAGGAAAAAAGAAAGAAGAAAGCAGUGACAAUUUCUGAGCAAGUCUAAAAUCAGUCUUCUUAGGCUCAAUGCUCUAUGUUCUAGGACUAUUGGA